CUCCCAGCCCUUCGGGGCUCUGGUGUUGUCCCCACUGCCAGCGCUGGCAGCACCCUGGGUGGCGGGGGUCGGGAGCUUCCUGGGAGGGAAGGCAGACUGGGAAGCACGAGAGGAGCCCAGGUGAGCUAGUCCUGCAGUCCCGCAGGCCGGGACAUGCGCAGUGUGUGCGGGCGAGAUGGAGAAAAGCCGUUGCCGAGAAACCACACUUGGCUCACAAUGCCUAAAAACUCAGCCCAGCCUUGCCUUUGGCUUCCGUGUCCGAGUUGAAGGAAUAUUUCAUCACAAGUGUUUCUUUAUCUUUUCUGAUUCUAUCUCCUCCUGGACCUUCACUGCCGGCUGCUGGAGCACACGUGAUUGAACCAUAUGAAACAGCUAUGUGGGCGGCAGCUGUCCUAUCCUAAGACUUGGUCACCUCAGUCAAACCCAGUCUCCCCUGCCCUGCCCACCCACUUCCUGCCCCACCGCCCCAUCCCCCUGAGAAUGCUCCCCCCAAAUCUGCCUGCCAGACUCCGUCCUCCCCACUUCCUCCUGGAAGCCUUCCCCGAAUUCUGUGGCUUGCUCUACUUCCAGACCCAAGAACGUCCCCGGAGCACAGCUUGUUGGUUAAUAUUUACUUAUCCAUAUGUAUAUAAGCAUGGCUGCUCUGUGAAGGCAGGACGCAUUGUUCUCCUGUCUCCUCAUCUGAACCCUAGUACCAAACAGGAAGGGCAUAGGAAUUGGUGAUGUUGAGGGAUUCAGCUGGGUGGGGACAGAUCUGGGACAUUCUUAUCAAAAAGAGAUUUCCAUAAAUUACCUAAGACAACAUCUGGCUUCACUCACCACUGCAGGGCAUUUCCUGAUUUAUCAGCCACUCUCUCCCACAGUUAUUAGCCAAGGGCCAGGACUGAGAAUCAGCACAGACUAAACCAGCUCUGUUUUCACCUCCCUUGCAGGACUCCGGUCAGGCCAAAUAACCCGGGAGCAAAGGAACCUAAAGUUCCACUCAUUAGAGUCGCACUUAGAUAGUAUCUCUGUGACCUACUGCAGACCCCAGCCCAUCUGCCGAUGACAUGCAUACCGGUUCCUGCCCCAGUUUUGCAAUCGAGUUGCUGUGUGACCUUGGACGAGUCAGUCCACAUUUCUGGGUUUUGUUCUUCAUCUGUACAUGUAAGAGUAAUAGCUUAGGCGAUUAUUUAGGUGCUUUCUAGCUCUGAACCUUGAUUCUCUGACUUAAAGACAAGGAUGUUACUGUUUCUUCAAUAAAAAUAUUCCUUCCCUAACAGCCAGCCUGGGGAGAUCAAUAAUUCUGUUAGCGCAUCCUUGCAGUAUAGCUACAGCUCUGACGUCUCCCCAAGACUGGAAACUUUAUUCAUUAUUCAUUCCCAUUUUCUCUGUCUUGGCCCUCCCUCAAGCCCCCCUUUACCACCCUACCCCCAAUUCAGGACACUGCAACCUGCCAUGAAUGAAGAGUGGCUGGUCACAUGGCCCGGUCACCAUGGCAACAGAUCCCCCGCAGAAGAGGUAGGCAUCAGAGUCACAUGAGAACCC